UGCGCAGGCGGGCUUGUAAGUCAGUGGUGAAAUACUGCCGCUUAACGGUAGAACUGCCAUUGAUACUGCGAGUCUUGAAUAUGGUUGAGGUAGGCGGAAUGUGUUGUGUAGCGGUGAAAUGCAUAGAUAUGACACAGAACGCCGAUUGCGAAGGCAGCUUACUAAGCCAUUAUUGACGCUGAGGCGCGAAAGCGUGGGGAGCGAACAGGAUUAGAUACCCUGGUAGUCC
rnacentral:rRNA from 1 species